rnacentral:tRNA from 1 species
UCUAAUAUGGCAGAAAUGUUAUGCAAUGAACUUAAAAUUCAUUUAUAAAGAUUAAUCUUUUUUUAGAA